UACGGAGGGUGCGAGCGUUAAUCGGAAUAACUGGGCGUAAAGGGUGCGUAGGUGGUUAGUUAAGUUAUGUGUAAAAUCCCUGGGCUUAACCUGGGCAGGUCACAUAAUACUGAUUGACUCGAGUAUGGGAGAGGGUAGUGGAAUUUCCGGUGUAGCGGUGAAAUGCGUAGAGAUCGGAAGGAACACCAGUGGCGAAGGCGGCUACCUGGCCCAAUACUGACACUGAGGCACGAAAGCGUGGGGAGCAAACAGG
rnacentral:rRNA from 1 species